rnacentral:rRNA from 1 species
GUGUCAGCAGCCGCGGUAAUACGGAGGGGGCCAGCGUUGUUCGGAAUCAUUGGGCGUAAAGGGCGCGUAGGCGGCUUUGUAAGUCCGUUGUGAAAUCCCUCGGCUCAACCGAGGAACUGCGACGGAUACUGCUUGGCUUGAGUCCCGGAGAGGGUAGCGGAAUUCCCAGUGUAGCGGUGAAAUGCGUAGAUAUUGGGAGGAACAUCGGUGGCGAAGGCGGCUACCUGGACGGGUACUGACGCUGAGGCGCGAAAGCUAGGGGAGCAAACAGGAUUAGAAACCCCCGUAGUCC